AGUGAACGCUGGCGGUAGGCCUAACACAUGCAAGUCGAACGGCAGCACAGUAAGAGCUUGCUCUUCCGGGUGGCGAGUGGCGGACGUGUGAGGAAUACAUCGGAAUCUACUUUUUCGUAGGGGCUAACGUAGGGAAACUUACGCUAAUACCGCAUACGACCUACGGGUGAAAGCAGGGGAUCUUCGGGCCUUGCGCGAUUGAAUGAGCCGAUGUCGGAUUAGCUAGUUGGCGGGGUAACGGCCCACCAAGGCGACGAUCCGUAGAUGGUCUGAGAGGAUGAUCAGCCGCACUGGAACUGAGACGCGGUCCAUAGGCCUACGGGAGGCAGCAGUGGGGAAUAUUGGACAAUGGGCGCAAGCCUGAUCCAGUCGGAGCGCGUGGGUGAAGGAGGCGUUCGGUUUGUAAAGCCCUUUUGUUGGGAAAGAAAAGCAGCAGGUUAAUACCCCGCUGUUCUGACGGUACCCAAAGAAUAAGCACCGGCUAACUUCGUG
rnacentral:rRNA from 1 species